GUGAAUUAAACAUGCUUGGUGUCUUCGCUUCGGCAAGGCCCUUGCUUAAAUCACAUCCUAACACCUGUGAACUGUAAGACGUAUGAUGAGGUCUUUGGCCAAGUCAUCGUCUGCCCCAUUUUUAACAAACAAUUAAUGUAACAAACGUAGUCUUAUUAUAACCUAAUA
rnacentral:misc_RNA from 1 species